UACCUGGUUGAUCCUGCCAGUGAUCAUAUGCUUGUCUCAAAGAUUAAGCCAUGCAUGUCUAAGUACAUGCCGAAAUAAGGCGAAACCGCGAAUGGCUCAUUAAAUCAGUUAUGGUUCCUUAGAUCGUUUCUUCCUACUUGGAUAACUGUGGCAAUUCUAGAGCUAAUACAUGCAGUGAGCCUGAAGCCCUUUGGGCGACGGGUGCUUUUAUUAGACCAAGAUCGAUCGGGUUUCGGCCCGUAUUGUGUGGUGACUCUGGAUAACUUUGUGCUGAUCGCAUGGCCACGAGCCGGCGACGUUUCUUUCAAGUGUCUGCCUUAUCAACUUUCGAUGGUAGGUUACUUGCUUACCAUGGUUGUUACGGGUAACGGAGAAUCAGGGUUCGAUUCCGGAGAGGGAGCCUGAGAAACGGCUACCACAUCCAAGGAAGGCAGCAGGCGCGCAAAUUACCCACUCCCGGCACGGGGAGGUAGUGACGAAAAAUAACAAUACGGGACUCUUUUGAGGCCCCGUAAUUGAAAUGAGUACACUCUAAAUCCUUUAACGAGGAUCAAUUGGAGGGCAAGUCUGGUGCCAGCAGCCGCGGUAAUUCCAGCUCCAAUAGCGUAUACUAAAGCUGCUGCGGUUAAAAAGCUCGUAGUUGGAUCUCAGUUCCAGACGAGUAGUGCAUCUACCCGAUGCGACGGCUCGGACUGAACAUCAUGCCGGUCCUUUCUUGGUGCACUUCAUUGUGUGCCUCGAGAAGGCCGGUGCUUUUACUUUGAAAAAAUUAGAGUGCUCAACGCAGGCGAGUCGCCUGAAUAAACUUGCAUGGAAUAAUAGAACAAGACCUCGUUUCUGUUCUGUUGGUUUUUGGAAUACGAGGUAAUGAUUAAGAGGGACAGACGGGGGCAUUCGUAUUGCGGCGCUAGAGGUGAAAUUCUUGGACCGUCGCAAGACGAACUACUGCGAAAGCAUUUGCCAAGAAUGUUUUCUUUGAUCAAGAACGAAAGUCAGAGGUUCGAAGGCGAUCAGAUACCGCCCUAGUUCUGACCAUAAACGAUGCCAACCAGCGAUCCGCCUGAGUUACUCAAAUGACUCGGCGGGCAGCUUCCGGGAAACCAAAGUGUUUGGGUUCCGGGGGAAGUAUGGUUGCAAAGCUGAAACUUAAAGGAAUUGACGGAAGGGCACCACCAGGAGUGGAGCCUGCGGCUUAAUUUGACUCAACACGGGAAAACUUACCCGGCCCGGACACUGGGAGGAUUGACAGAUUGAGAGCUCUUUCUUGAUUCGGUGGAUGGUGGUGCAUGGCCGUUCUUAGUUGGUGGAGCGAUUUGUCUGGUUAAUUCCGAUAACGAACGAGACUCUAGCCUAUUAAAUAGGUGCGGGGUUCCCAGCACCUUACAACCUUCUUAGAGGGACAAGCGGCUCCUAGCCGCACGAAACAGAGCAAUAACAGGUCUGUGAUGCCCUUAGAUGUCCGGGGCCGCACGCGCGCUACACUGAAGGAAGCAGCGUGUCUUUAUCCCUGUCUGAAAAGACUGGGUAACCCGUGGAACUUCUUUCGUGAUUGGGAUAGGGGCUUGCAAUUGUUCCCCUUGAACGAGGAAUUCCCAGUAAGCGCGAGUCAUAAGCUCGCGUUGAUUACGUCCCUGCCCUUUGUACACACCGCCCGUCGCUACUACCGAUUGAAUGAUUUAGUGAGGUCUUCGGACCGAUGUCCGGCGCGGCCUUUCGGUUGCGCCGGUCUGUUGGAAAGAUGACCAAACUUGAUCAUUUAGAGGAAGUAAAAGUCGUAACAAGGUUUCCGUAGGUGAACCUGCGGAAGGAUCAUUA
rnacentral:rRNA from 1 species